AAACGAGGAGGGUUCUUCUUCGAGGCAGGGGUAGGAGAGGUCUCUAUACCAUCAAGCACAUGGGAUCAUACGUCAAGAAGUAAGUGCUCAGUGUCACCAAACCAUCUUCGGAUUGCUGACACCGACGUUUAGGUCAUCCAUCUUCUAUCGUUGUUAGGAAGAUCAACAGUAAAAAUAUACUCCGUGGUAGCAAUUUCAAUAAUGAGUUUGUAUGUGAUGCCCGCCAGAAAGGCAAAAUUCACCAAUUACUGUAUCCAAAAUCAAUGAGUGAAUCAAAAUUUACUUUAGAAUUCACUUUUUUCUUAUGUGUGGGGUCCUACGGUACAAACCGUAGAUAGAAAAAAUUGUGUGAGUUUCAUUGACGAUUUUAGCAAAUUCACGUGGAUCUACCUAAGCAAACAUAAGUCUGAAGUUUUUUAAAAAAAAUUCAUGACUUUGAGAACCUUAUUGAACGACAAUUUGACCGAAAAAAUCUUGCUCUUCAAACAGAUUGGGGAGGCGAGUACGAAAAAUUAAACUCCUUCACAAAGAUUGGGAUCUCUCACCACGUCUCGUGUCCCCAUGCAAAUCAGCAAAAUGGUUCAGCUGAACGGAAGCACUGUCACUUUAUUGAAGUCGGUUUGUUUAUUCUUGCCCAAGAAUCUAUGCCCUUGAAAUUUGUGGAUGAGUCCUUCAUUGGUGCAGCACACUUAAUUAAUAGAAUGGCGUAUGCGCGUGGGCGCAACGGAUUUCGCUCCCGUGUGCUCAUCCCUUGCUUGUUCUUUCGGGUUCCCGUGGUUCCUAUGCCGCCGCGUUUCCCGGUCCUUUUCUUUUAGUGCUUCGACUGCAAAGUUAUCAACUUUGAAACUACCCUUACCAGAUAGUUUUUUUUAGCAAAACCAGAUUGUUUGGUGAAACACCAGACUACUCAUCCCUUCGUAUUUUCACGUGCGCCUGCUGGGCCAUCCUUCGCCAAUAAAAUGCUCACAAACUUCAAUUCCGCUCCGAACAAUGUGCAUUUCUAGAGUACAGUAAUCUGCACAAUGGGUACAAAUGCCUGGACAUUUCCACAAGACGAGUUUACAUCUCUUGCGAUGUGCCGGUUGACGAAAAUAUUUUCCCCUUCUCUACCUAUCGAGCUUACGUGCUGAAAUCAUCUUGCUACCUAUCGAGCUUUUAAAUCCAACUGUUAAGGAGGAGAAUAUGUUGAUGAUCAUUUGAUUAAUAGUUCUGCUAAUCAUGAUGCUAAUGAUGCAGUGAGCAAUGAUGAAAAAACACAGCUGAAAUGUAUGAUUUUGUGCAACAAGCGCUUCCAAAUAUGUCGGGCACAAGACAAAGAGAGGAUCCUCCUACAAACACCGAUCCGAAGAGAUCCAACGCAGGACCUGAUGCACCUGCCAUGCAAAUGGACCCCCAGGAAGAUCAGCAAACACCGCAGGCAGGCGGUUCAG
rnacentral:lncRNA from 1 species